rnacentral:rRNA from 1 species
GACGAACGCUGGCGGCGUGCUUAACACAUGCAAGUCGAACGGUAAGGCCCUUCGGGGUACACGAGUGGCGAACGGGUGAGUAACACGUGGGUGAUCUGCCCUGCACUUCGGGAUAAGCCUGGGAAACUGGGUCUAAUACCGGAUAGAACCACUGCCUGCAUGGGUGGUGGUGGAAAGCUUUUUCGGUGUGGGAUGGGCCCGCGGCCUAUCAGCUUGUUGGUGGGGUGAUGGCCUACCAAGGCGACGACGGGUAGCCGGCCUGAGAGGGUGACCGGCCACACUGGGACUGAGAUACGGCCCAGACUCCUACGGGAGGCAGCAGUGGGGAAUAUUGCACAAUGGGCGCAAGCCUGAUGCAGCGACGCCGCGUGAGGGAUGACGGCCUUCGGGUUGUAACCCUCUUUCAGCACCGACGAAGCGCAAGUGACGGUAGGUGCAGAAGAAGGACCGGCCAACUACGUGCCAGCAGCCGCAGUAA